AACCGUAUGCGCGCCUCUUCUUCGAGAUUCCAGUCCGACGCGAGCAUCGACGACUGCUAUCCAGCUGAUCCAGCUCGCGCGCGACUGCUGGUCCUCGGGGUUUGAAAAUCGUCGCGGCCGCUCAUCCUCGGAGGGUUCGAUUCGAAGCUCAGCCGUGCCCGUAUCUGAGAAUAGUUCGCUCACCCGAGCACAUUUCUCGCCGUUGAAAUUUUGCCGCCUUCGGCAGGAGCUACGAGACGGUUGCGACGAAAGGAAAUAGCUCGGGACAGGCGAGAGCUUCGUGGAUACUUGCACUCGGGGUACAGGAUGGAAAUGUCAACCGAUUCGCAGAGUAUACGCAAUAUCCUUGAUCCUCUGUACACUUAGUUCCUGCCGGUCUUAGACGAACGCCCUGCGCAGCGGGUUCGCGCAUUCGCGCGGCCCUACUCACCCUCGUCGGGUGCGCGCGCACGCGGAGUAGCACGUGCGCACCGGCGGUGCGCCGACCAGUGCGGCGGCGCGACCUACAGAAGCAGCCGGACCGCGUCGGGCGCAGAUCGCGAAGAGGGCCGCGACAGCGACUCCGGCGAACACGGGCACUCCUGGGAGUACGAUGACGGGGAUGAAGACGGAAACCAUGAGCGGCGCCGCCGACAAGGACGCCGAGCGCCGUCACGACGAGCCCAGGGCCAAUGGCCACCCUCCGGCCAAGCUCGAAGACGUCCUGCAGCUCGAGGACUUCGCCGAGGACAACAAUAACGAGGUGGGUUCUCUAGCAAUUAGUUCGCGCCCCGAUCGAUCAACCCCGAAAGCGUCCCCGUCGAUGGAAAUAGGAAAGCUGUGAGUAUCGAAAAAUGCACGCUGGGCAAAGGCGACGAUGAAGGAUUAAGGUGGUAUGAAAGUAUGAUAUAUAAGUACCAAAAAAUCAAAAUAUUUAUAUCAUGAUUUAUAAUGAUUUACAUGAUAUAUUAUAAUGAUUAAGAUGAUACGAAAGUGUGAUAUGUACGGGCCAAAAAGUCAAAAUAUU